rnacentral:rRNA from 1 species
UGGGGAAUAUUGCACAAUGGGGGAAACCCUGAUGCAGCGACGCCGCGUGAGUGAAGAAGUAUUUCGGUAUGUAAAGCUCUAUCAGCAGGGAAGAACAUGACGGUACCUGACUAAGAAGCCCCGGCUAACUACGUGCCAGCAGCCGCGGUAAUACGUAGGGGGCAAGCGUUAUCCGGAUUUACUGGGUGUAAAGGGAGCGUAGACGGCUUUGCAAGUCUGAUGUGAAAGGCAGGGGCUCAACCCUUGGACUGCAUUGGAAACUGUAGAGCUAGAGUGCCGGAGGGGUAAGCGGAAUUCCUAGUGUAGCGGUGAAAUGCGUAGAUAUUAGGAGGAACACCAGUGGCGAAGGCGGCUUGCUGGACGGUAACUGACGUUGAGGCUCGAAAGCGUGGGGAGCAAACAGGAUUAGAUACCCUGGUA